GGAACGGCGGAGUGUCUGAGUGAGUAGUCAAUUACUUCCCUAGUGGCUCAGAGGUUAAAGCGUCUGCCUCCAAUGUGGGAGACCCGGGUUCGAUCCCUGGGUGAGGAAGAUCCCUUGCAGAAGGAAAUGGUAACCCACUCCAGUAUUCUUGCCUGGAGAAUCCCAUGGAUGGAGAAGCCUGGACUCACUCUUCCCUCAUUCUCAGUAUCUGAAGUUCAGAUUAGACACCUACGAGGGCCUGUGUCCUAAGAAGUAUUUCUUUGACCAACUAACUGGUUCAGAGCUGGCUAGGAGAUGACACUGACUGGAGCAUCCUUGGAAGCCAACUAUGGAAGAUGACAGAGCACCCAGAUUUAGAGUGCUCAAUUACUGACUAUUACACAAGAAGGAAGUAAACUAACAUAAGCC